CGGUAUUUUACCCUUUUGUAAUCUGCAUUUGAGUAGGGGUUGGAUUAUCUUUGUAUUAUAUUUAGUGGAAUUCUUAUUGGAUUUACACUGUAUCUCUCAGUGGACUUACACCGUAAUUUUUUGUGGGUUUUACAGUGUAGUUCCAGGAUUUUAAAGUGUAAUUCUUAUUGGAUUUACACUGUAACUCUCAGUGGACUUGCACUGUUUUGUUGAGUAAACAAGUAUGCUCCACUCUGUUUUGUUGUCAAUAACCAAUUUCGAAAAGCAUGAUUGAAUCUGUUUUCUUUUCACAGGAUUUGUUAAUGCUAUAAGAGAGACAUGCAUUGAGGAACUUAGCUUCAUCAUGUUUGAGGUACAAGUUUCUGGCCCUUCAUGCUUGUUUCCAUCCCAUUUGAUUCCAUUGCAGGCACCUGUAAAUCUUGUUUGCCCCUUUUUUUCAGUUGAUAGGCUUAAUUGAUAUGAAUUGAUCAUUUUAUUACUUCCUAUGUGUACUCAUUUGUAUUUACAAAUAGUAGUUUGUAGCAAUUUGAUCUUCAAGUAGGAAAGAAAGGUCUUUCUAUGUAGUUCCAAAGUUUAUAAAAUUCAGUCCUAGUUUCUUUACUUUCUUGUAAAUGAGUUAUUUUGUAAUCAUGAUCUAAGUUUCUGAUUAGUGUAUAGUUUGUGUGUGCCAAAGUUUCUGAAUUACAGUCCUAGCUUUAUGAAAAUAUAGCAUUUCUAACCUGUUUGUUCAAGGAUUUUCCUAACUUUUUGUAUUUUAUCUCCCAGAACAUGUGAUCCCUAUCUUCUUUAUACUCAUUUCCAUGUGUUGUAACUGUUGUUUUCAAUUCAGAAACUUCCUAGUAGUUCUAAAAUUCAUGAAUUUAACAUGGAUUUUUUGUUUCCUAACCUUUCUGCUCGUGCACCCCUAGACUCAUAGGAUCCUAGGGUUCUUCCUGGAUCUAGUUUAAUUAUUGGUUCUAGUGUAAACUUCCAGAAUCCAUCCUUUUUUGAGUUUAUUUGUCUCUGCAGCAUGUAUAUAUAAUGGUUCACAGUCGCCCUUUAUUUGAUUUCUGAUGUAGACAGGCAGGGGGGAGAGAUCUGCCUAAAUCAUACUUAGUAUGUGGUGAUUGCAAAAUUGGGGUUGUUUACCUGUGCUUAGUCAUCUUCAGCAGAGUGGAUCGUCUUCGGGUUUCUGUCCCAGAUCAUGGAGGAAUCGCCCUCUUGGUUGGCACUUAUUCCCGUUUCCUCUAGCUAUUCUCCCCCCUCCAUGUUCUUCCCCUCUACAGUGCAUUUUUGUAGUGGAUAUUACACUGAAAAUAAUAGUGGAGUUAUUAUUGUAAUUUUAUAGCUUUUCAAUGUAAUUUUUAGUGCUCCAGAGCUUAAUUUGUCAUGGCAUUUUAGGUGUGUGUGCUUAGAUGACAUCAUCCUGAUCCUUUCCUUUUCUUUUCGUAUUGCUUUAGCUUAGUGCACAUGUACAUGGUAAAGCUUGCCUGUAACUUUGGGUUUUUUUGCCCUCCUUUUUGUUGCUUCUCUGUCCGAGCGGGAAAAGUUGGGUUGUGGACCCGUUAUGAUCAUGAUGCUGGUGGUGUUUAAGAGUUGGUGUGUGGACCCGUUUAAGCUCGUGAUGCUGGUGUGCUUAAAAUCAUGCUGGUGUGCUUAAAAUCGGGGGCAAGUAGGAACUAACAGAGGACAUGAGACACGGGACAGGGAGACACUUGUCAUUCUGUAAUAGGUGGGAAAAUCUGACUGAAAACGAAUUUGUUUUCAUCCGGAUGUAAAACAGACAGUCCCACUAUAUGAAUGCAUUAUGCAUAAAAACGAACGGCGAACAGUCUAUAUACAU
rnacentral:lncRNA from 1 species